rnacentral:rRNA from 1 species
CCUACGGGUGGCAGCAGUAGGGAAUCUUCCACAAUGGGCGAAAGCCUGAUGGAGCAAUGCCGCGUGGGUGAAGAAGGUCUUCGGAGCGUUAAACUCUGUUGUUAGAGAGGUAAGUGCGUGAGAGUAUCUGUUCACGUAUCGACGGUAUCUAACCAGAAAGCCACGGCUAACUACGUGCCAGCAGCCGCGGCAAUACGUAGGAGGCAAGCGUUAUCCGGAUUUAUUGGGCGUAAAGGGAACGUAGGCGGUCUUUUAAGUCUGAUGUGAAAGCCUUCGGCUUAACCGGUGUAGUGCAUUGGAUACUGGGGGACUAGAGUGCAGAUGAGGAGGGCGGAACG